UUUACCAGAUCCACACAAAGGAGUUCAGCUCUACGCGGAGAAACAAGAGAAAAGUCCAAAAGACUAGAGAGCAAAAUGGGUAUCAGCCAGUUACUGAAUAAGCCUUCAGGUGGGGAUAAAGAAAUUAAUCCAGUAUAUCAAGUGGUCACUAUGCAGCCGGAAGUUCUUGUGAUGAACGCUCCACUGGAUAAACCACUGCCAGAUUACCUGGGUUACUCCAUCUUUACCACACUGUGCUGUUUUUUACCUGUUGGCCUUGCUGCUUUGGUUUACUCCAUCACAACUCGAAAUGCAAACCUGUUUGGACACCGACAAAUGGCAGAGAAAAACUCCAGAAUGGCACGCAAACUUAACCAUGUCAGUCUUGGUAUUGGCAUUGCAAUAUAUUUGUUGGUUAUCGGCUUGUAUAUUUUUGCUAGGAUCACACUUUCAGGAAGGCGUUUUAUGAUGUUUUAGCCGUAUACCUUUUGCUGGGAAAAAAUAAUAUGCUUUUAGCUUCAGGAAGUGUGCACACGUUAAUGGCCCAUAUUGACAAUAAGUUACUGUCAACUUCUGAGGACGAUGUGUGGGAGAAAGGGCUCGCCGUAUUGUUGUUGAUGAACUUUUGGAUAACUGUGAUAUUUUAUGUUUGAAAGAGAGUUUUUUUUAACUAAGCAAGACUUGGAAAAUUGUUAUUUUAAUAAGAAUCUUUAUAGAGCUGCUGAAUCCAGAACAGAUGCUUGAAUUGGGUUAAUUAAGUCUUCAUUUUUAUACAGAUGUUUUGAAGUUAAUAACGUUAAUGUUUUUAACAAUGAGAGCUUUGUUUGUCAAACUAAAUGUAUCAUAAGGUGAAAUGUUUGUUUCUCUAUAUUUAAUAUUGUUACUCUAUAUUAAUAAAUACAUAUUGUAUACAUUAACGAUUUGUAAAUGAUGAAUAGCAAAUUUAUUCUGCAUUAAUUCUAAUCAGAUAUGUACUUGCUGUCAUGUUUUUUGUAGAAAAGUACAAUUGACUUAGUGACUUGCAUCUUAAAGUGAAUUCUCUGCAAUGGCUUAAAAAACCUCUCCCUAUGUUUUGCGUUAUUCAUCGAACUUUUUUAUAACGUUUCUGGAAUAGCUUUAUGUAAACAUUGCUUUUCUAAACGUCCAGCAUUAAUAAAAGUUAUUAUUAUUACA